rnacentral:rRNA from 1 species
GAUGAACGCUGGCGGCGUGCAUAAUACAUGCAAGUCGAGCGAAGCGGGGAAGGGUGAGUAACCCGUGGCUAACCUCCUAUAAGACUGGGAUAACUUCGGGAAACCGGAGCUAAACCGGCUCCUUAUAGAUGGAUCCGCGCUGCAUUAGCUAGUUGGUAAGGUAACGGCGUACCAAGGCAACGAUGCAUAGCCGACCUGCGAGGGUGAUCGGGCACACUGGAACAGAGACACGGUCCAGACGCCUGGGGGAGGCAGCAGUAGGGAAUCUUCCGCAAUGGGCGAAAGCGUGACGGAGCAACGCCGCGUGAGUGAUGAAGGUCUUCGGAUCGUAAAACUCUGUUAUUAGGGAAGCGGUACCUAAUCAGAAAGCCACGGCUAACUACGUGCCAGCCGCCGCGGUAAUAC